AUUGAACGCUGGCGGCAUGCCUUACACAUGCAAGUCGAACGGUAACGCGGGGCAACCUGGCGACGAGUGGCGAACGGGUGAGUAAUAUAUCGGAACGUGCCCAGUAGUGGGGGAUAGCCCGGCGAAAGCCGGAUUAAUACCGCAUGAGACCUGAGGGUGAAAGCGGGGGAUCGCAAGACCUCGCGCUAUUGGAGCGGCCGAUAUCAGAUUAGGUAGUUGGUGGGGUAGAGGCCUACCAAGCCGACGAUCUGUAGCUGGUCUGAGAGGACGACCAGCCACACUGGGACUGAGACACGGCCCAGACUCCUACGGGAGGCAGCAGUGGGGAAUUUUGGACAAUGGGCGCAAGCCUGAUCCAGCCAUGCCGCGUGCGGGAAGAAGGCCU
rnacentral:rRNA from 1 species